CAGAAAACAUGCAACAUGAAGUUAGACGCCUGCAGGAAAACAAGGCUGUGCAGCCAGAAAGAGAGGAUUUUAAAAACCGCUGAACGAGGAACCGGGAGGAUAAAGCAGCGACACCAGGCUCGGUUUGGAGCUCCAAAAUCAGAAGGCAGAAACUGAACAACCACUGCAACAUCACAGCUCACACAGAGAGAAAGUGCUGCGGGACUCUGCGUGGACCUCCUGCUGCAUCAGAGAACCUACACAUAUUCCCUCUGACUGCACUGUUAAAGCCUGACAUGAGGAGCGAGCAGCUAUGAAACGCACACAGACGUGUCUGUCUUCCCGGAUAAGAAGCAGCCGUCUGCCCGUCAGCGGCGCCUGGACAAGAGACACUUUCUGAAAGUCAAAGACGCAAUCAUGUAAAUCAGGACACAGUUGAGGUUCCCAGCCUGUAGAAUCGGAAAUACAGAAAGAAACAGAGCCAGAUGACAACCAGGAAACAAUUAUUAGGUAACAUGCAGAACAUAAGGACUUCGACACAAUGGCUGUACAGCAACUUCAUACUAAGUGACAAAAUCGGUUCUCAUUAGCUGCUUUUCCGUUACAAAACUUUCUCUAUAUUCUCACACAUGUUCACAAUUGCGGUAAUGAGAAAGGCCGAUAAAAUCCCACGUGAAUAAGUUUCUUCAUGCAAUAAGUCAUUAAAGAAACAUGAACCUCCAGCUACUUCCUG